rnacentral:lncRNA from 1 species
UUUGGCUGUUGCUUCUGCGCUAGUACCUACAUUUCCUGUUCAACCCCCUAACCAACCCCCACCCUGGCCCCUUCCGAUUCUGCUCAGGAAAAUUCAUGCUCAAAGUUAUUACAAAAUUCAGCUAGGAGCUUCCUUCACUCUGUGGCCCCUCCCCUAUUUUAUUACCUUUAAUAACAUUAUAGAAAGCAUUCUUAUUGGGCUGAUGUUUCGACAAAAGGGAGAGAAUAAGAAAUAAUCCAUUAACUUCAUAUUGUGUUUCCUUCUUCAUAUUUUUGAGAUUCGGAAGAACAACUAUACUUGAGCCAAA